AGGAGGAGGAGGAGGAAGGAGGAGGAAGAGGGGUGGGCUCAGGCUGCUCCCAUGCGCGCAGGCUGGCGGUGGAGCGCACGGCGAGCCCUGCUCGGAGCCAAACUCUUUCUCGGCCGAUGAUCUCGUCCUCCUUUUGAUACUUGAAUGCCGGAGAGGCUGCUGGGUCUCCACACACUCUGCCCCACGCCCAAGUCGCCAGGCAGGACCACGAGGAAUAAAUAACUUUUCGCCUCGCAGUGCAGCCGCCGAAACCGCAGAAGGAUCUUCGAGGAACGCGGGAGCGAUGACGGUAUUUUCAUGGACAGCGCAGCACCAGCGACUCGCUGGAGAAGCCACAGCCAGGAAGCCUUUGCAUCUCACGUCUGAAGAGCUACACUGUGUGUCAGUGUACAGUGUGACGGCGCGCUGCUGCACCUCUUCAAAGAACAUGUCACGGAGAAGAAUUCCCUCUCCUGGGCAAAGACGUCUGGAUCACACCAAGGAGCAACGCAGCAAUGAAGACGAUGUGAAAGGCUGAAACGUUCUGAAUCUCUUGCUGGACGAGGAGGAGAUUUGGAAGCAUGUGUGUGUCAAGAUGGAGUCGAGGAAACACACGUGCACAGACACACACACGUCAGUCGUCAGUUCGUCCAGCAGACACGUAAAUGUCUUCUAUGAUGCUGUGGGAGGGGCACCAGGUAUGAACUUGUUAUUUGUGAUAGAAUUCAUACAAUGUUUCGAUAGAAGCACAAAUGAAAUAACUAAGAAUUAAAAAGCAAACAUGACAAUACAUAUUACUCACUGAAAUCGACUGUUUCCAGGCAUGUUUUUACUAAUAAAAACAGAAUUUGAGAAUAACUUGUUUAUUGUGUCAUUUCUGCGUGACAUUUUUGAGAAACGUCAAUUGUUUAAAAUUAUUUUAGGGGAGUUAAAGUUCUCCUCAACUUAAAAAAAUAGCUCCUAAUUUAUAUCACAGGAUGAAACAGGAACGUCCAAGUGGUUUUAUUAUUUAGUUUAGGCAGACAGUUUUAUGUUUUGCGUCCAUCAAAUGCAAAACAAAACUGAAAAUUGCGCCACGUUCGAUCCCCAUUGUGUGUGGGCAACAAUACGCGUGCGACCAUUUGUGCGAUUCAGUAGUUGAGAGUAAAGCAUGGCCUCAAAUAAACAGAGCUGGGAUUUAGUGAAUAAAUUCAACAGGGAAGGAAGACCUUUGCGCCGUGCUGAUUGGCCGCAGAUGUGAGCCGCAGUCUGGUUUCGGUUAAAGCCCCGCUGCCAGGAAUAUUCGCUACA